rnacentral:rRNA from 2 species
GAACUGCAGGACACAUGAACACCGACACGUUGAACGCAUAUGGCGCAUCGGACGUUUCAACCCGACCGAUGCACACAUCCUUGAGU